UGAGCUCAGAUCAGAUAAGAUACCCGCUGAACUUAAGCAUAUCAAUAAGCGGAGGA
rnacentral:rRNA from 1 species